GAUGAACGCUGGCGGCGUGCUUAACGCAUGCAAGUCGAACGGAAAGGCCCAAGCUUGCUUGGGUACUCGAGUGGCGAACGGGUGAGUAACACGUGGGUGAUCUGCCCUGCACUUCGGGAUAAGCCUGGGAAACUGGGUCUAAUACCGGAUAGGACCACUUCUUGGAUGUUGUGGUGGAAAGUUUUUUCGGUGUGGGAUGAGCUCGCGGCCUAUCAGCUUGUUGGUGGGGUAAUGGCCUACCAAGGCGUCGACGGGUAGCCGGCCUGAGAGGGUGUACGGCCACAUUGGGACUGAGAUACGGCCCAGACUCCUACGGGAGGCAGAAGUGGGGAAUAUUGCACAAUGGGCGCAAGCCUGAUGCAGCGACGCCGCGUGGGGGAUGACGGCCUUCGGGUUGUAAACUCCUUUCGCUAGGGACGAAGCGUUUUGUGACGGUACCUGGAGAAGAAGCACCGGCUAACUACGUG
rnacentral:rRNA from 1 species